rnacentral:lncRNA from 1 species
ACGAAAAUAAGUGUAAAAUCUUUUUUAUUUUCUUUCCAAUUUGAAGUUAUAGCUUUAAUUACAACUCCUCAUGUAACAACUUAAUAUUACUCUACACUAGAUAUUGCAUGAAUUUUGAAAUGAAUAUUGAUGGGGACCAAUGCAGAAAAGUUAGUAUAAAUUGGAUAAACUCUUAUCUUUCUCCACAUCAGCCAACCCACG